AUUUCUAUGUGGAAACUGUAAAAUAAUAUCCAGUUUACAUAGUUGAUCAUUCAAACUCUAUUUCAGACAAUAAGAUCACCAAUGCUUCAUUAGCAUUUCUUGACCAAGAAAUGCUGGAUUCAAUGGGAAUCGUCGCGAUGGGACCGAAACUAAUAAUAAUGUCUGUGGACAAUAUAUACAAUAUCAGAAGUAGCUAAUCCGUCGACGUCCAGUACAACACCUGCAAAAGAUUUAACGGUACGAGAAAUAUUGGAGAACCAUCCCAAGUUCCGCUCAAUUUUACAAGACAAACUUGACGCGAAGAUAGUACCAAAGGAAAAUGAAUUAAAUGGUUCGUGUGUUAUGUGCUCCUAUUGUAGAACGAUUGACAAAAGAGUCUGUGUAUCCGACAACAGAGGAGAAAAAAAAAUUGGCUGCAAAAAUAUUACAAUUUCCCUUUCUGAAUGCGACAAAGAGAAGUGUCGAUGGCCCAGAAUAUGUAAUAUAUACUUACAUUACCG